rnacentral:lncRNA from 1 species
AGACCUGAAGGCUGCUUCCGCUAACCCGGGCUGGCGCUGCUAACCUCACCCAACGAUCCCUGCUGUCGGAAAAUGUCCAGAGGCACCAUCCCUGCUAUGAAGAGGGAAUGCCAGUACAACAGCCACAAGGGGUCUUCCUGUGGCCCUCAAACAAAAAAUCACUGCAUUACAUCAGCAGACUGCAUUGGAGAGAAAGGCGCCGGGACAGAAAAGCCUGAGAUAAACCACCUGUCAUUCUUGGAGAAAAGGAUGCUGCGGCUUUCCCGAUUUGGUUGAUGAGAUGGAAAAUCAACCCUUACAGGAAGGACAUCACCAAUUCCGGAAAGGAUGCUGCGCCAGUCAUGUUUCCGCACUCUGUGAGACGUUGAAAUCUCCAGAAGUUGCCCAAGGUUUUCAAGCUGAACACAGGAGAAAUGACUCUGGAUCUCUGAGGACUGUUUUCCUCAAUAAGGAGCUGCAAUCUUGGCUCCACCACCCUCCCUCCAAAACAUCUCGUGUGUCUGGUAUCUGGUUAUAUUGUGGCCUGACAGAGAAGUUUCUUUCGGGGCCAGUGAAUUAAAAAAAAAAAAAAAAAGAAAAGCGGGUCCUACCAACUCAUUAAUACUUUAAUACUUUAAAUUUCCCUCUUUAUAGUAGGUUGAAAUGUCAGUAUCUCUUAAGAACAAUGGCUGAACCAAAUGUUUCCUCAAAACUCACAUUUUUUCCCACCAUUUCAGAAGCUGCCUCAGGACUAAGCUUUGAUUUUUUUUUUUUUUUUUAAUCUGGCCCAAAUUCCUAUCUAAGGGGCCUGGGGAGUCAUGCCCAACAAACCAUAAAUUCUCAUCAGAUGAGUUUUAUUUAACCCUAUAUAUGGUGACUUGCUUUCCAGUCUGACUCUGGCAUGACAUGUGACAAAGAAGAAAGUCAAAAUAUUUUACCCCAAAACAUGUUUCUUUGCCAUAUUUUGAAAUGGUCCUGCAAAGCUGUGCUUUGUGGGGGAAAAUAUGCAUCUGUAAAGAAUCUCUAUUAACACAGCUAGAUCUUUUUCUUCCAGGCCCUCCCAAUCCUGAAGAGACUGAGAGUCUAGCAUUGUUUUAAAGGUCUGAAUAGGAAACAUUUGUCAUCUAUCAUCUCUAAGGGUAGCCAUUAUAAGACUUCAAAAGAACCUUUUGAAGUAUUAUAAUCUUUUAUCUUAACCUGAACAUGUGCUUCCUAUUGAUCCCAGGUCUUCAGACAAUUGUGAACUCAACCAUUUGUCAAUUAGAAAAUGUUUAAAUUGGCUGGGCACAGUGUCUCAUGCCUCUAAUCCCAGCACUUUGGAAGACCAAGGCGGGCAGAUUGCCUGACCUCAGGAGUUCGAGACCAGCCUGGGCAACAUGGUGAAACCCCGUCUCUACUAAAAUACAAAAAUUUAGCCGGGCGUAGUGGCAUGCACCUGUAGUCCCAGCUACUUGGGAAGCUGAGGAAGGAGAAUUGCUUGAACCCGGCGGGCAGAGGUUGCAGUAAGCAGAGAUCGUGCCACUGCACUCCAGCUUGGGCAACAAAGUGAGACUCCAUCACAGAAAAAAAAAAGAAAAUGUUUACCUUUACCUAUAGCCUGGAAAUCCCUGCUUUGAGUUGCUCCAUCUUUCUGAACCAAACCAAUGUUAUUUCUUAAACGUAUUUCAUUGAUGUCUCAUGCCUCCCUAAAAUGUAUAAAACCAAGCUGUGCCCCGAACACCUUGGGCACAUGUUCUCAGGACCUCCUGAGGGCCGUGUCACGGGUCAUAAUCACUCAUAUUUGGCUCAGAAUAAAUCUCUUCAAACAUUUUACAGAGUUGACUCUUAGUCAACAUGUCCAUACCUGAUGAGAUGCUUCAUCAAAAUUCUAGUGGACUGGCUAGUUCAGAAAAUGGACCAGCCAGGUUUGCUUAAAUGCACCCCUGCACAACUAUCUCACUCCUGCUUGGAGCCGGCUAGAUCAGGAGACCUGUCCCUAAACUAAUGUACUCCAUGUCUUAAGUCUUUUUGUUUUGUUUUGUUUUUGUUUUUGACAGAGUCUCAGUCUGUCACCCAGGCUGGAGUGCAGUGGCGUGAUCUUGGCUCGCUGCAACCUCCGCCUCCCAGGUUCAAGAGAUUCUCCUGUCUCAGCCUCCCAAGUAGCUGGGACAACAGGUGUGCACCACCAUGCCCUGCUAAUUUUUGUGUUUUAAGUAGAGAUGGGGUCUCACCCUGUUGGCCAGGCUGGUCUCAAAUUCCUGACCUCAGGUGAUCCACCCACCUCGGCCUCCCAAAGUGCUGUAAUUACAGGCAUGAGCCACCGCACCCAGCCCAUGUGUCUUGGUCUUUUUUACUAAUAUUGAUUAUAAAAUGGAUGAAACUUUGGAUAAAAUUUCUGCGUUAGAAUUUCUUUUUAUAUCUGUCCUAAAGCUUGUAACUACUUGCUCAUGAUUUUUUGUGUAUGUUUAGCAAUGUGCAUGUCAUUGAUGGCCUUUGUAAAGUAUGUUCAAUUGAGUUGUGGAGACAGAGGUGCAAUUGGAGUAGGUUGUAAGAAUAAAAAGGAGUAGGC